GGCGGGGAGUGAUCGCCGGUGCAAGAAGCAUGGUGCAGGGGGCACAGACAAGGAGCGGCUCCUGGCAGGCUUUGAGUGGAAGGGGCACAUGGACGAAUCGAACAUACACCGGAAUGAGAGGGAUCUGGAGACUGUAUAGGUAUGGGACUAUACAGUUGAAGGAUAACUUAAAGGAAUUGAUUUGGCUACCCAUAUCACCAAAAUGCAUUUACU
rnacentral:lncRNA from 1 species